UUUCCCCUGGUUUCCCUAAUUGCAGAGUUCCAUGGAUUAUUAGGGUUCUUGUUAUCAGAAGGAGCUAUUAACAAUGAGUGAUUCAGGUUCCUCCACAUUAAGCUAUGAGGGGCCAGUUUCUUACGGUGGUGCGCAUGCUCUGGUGGGUGAUGGGAUUGGUUUUCCAGAGUCGAUCAAUUUUUCGGACCAAGGACCUUACAGGCAGAUCAAGACCCUACGGCUUUAAUUCCUGUCUAUCUCAUGAGCGGGCAAGCUGGUGACUUAAUUGGUGAUUUAGAUCGCCAUUUGCUGCUGAAUUACCAUCAGCUCAAGUAUGAGCUGAAGGUGAUUGCUUUUGAUGGGGACAUCACUGGCCGGUUCUACGUUCUAUUCAAAAUGGUCAGAGAAUGGUCAGAGAAACUUCCAGAUGGAACUCAAGCUUGCCUCCACAAUUUUAUUCACCGACCACUAAAGGAAAUGACCGUUGAGGGAAUCUAUUUGGGAAAGCGCUGGUCAGCAAACUAUUCAUUUGAUAUUUAAGUGUUGUAAAUUCUUUAUGAGAAAAACUAAUUUAAAAGUCUUAUCAGUGACAUAGAUGAACCUAGCCCAGAUCAACACGAGCAAUUGUUGGAUGAUGAUUUAGAACCAGAGGACGAUUAUCUAGUUCCAUAUGAUGAUGAGCCAGAUCCAAUUGAUGGAUGGUUUGAUGAUGAUCAAAGAGUCAACCAUGAACUCUCAAGGUUAGCAUUGAUUUAAAACGUAAGGUUAGAAUCUCUAUCACCAUCUUUGUAUAGCUUUCUAUAAUAACCCGGGAACCUUGCUCGAGCCACACAAAAAUGGAUUUGUAAUGUGAGACUUUCAAAGGUAGUGGAAGUGCGCCUAAAGACCCAACUCAAUAGUCUUCGUACAAGAUUAUUUAGUCUCGGUAUCAAUAAGUCAACUCUAAUCUCAUCUUGUACGAAGACUAUUGGGUUGGGUCUUUAGGCGCACUUCCACUACCUUUGAAAGUCUCACAUUACAAAUCCAUUUUUGUGUGGCUCCAGCAAGGUUCCCGGGUUAUUAUAGAAAGCUAUACAAAGAUGAUGAUGGAGAUUCUAACCUUGCGUUUUAAAUCAAUGCUAACCUUGAGAGUUCAUGGUCGACUCUUUGAUCAUCGUCAAACCAUCCAUCAACUGGAUUUGGCUCAUCAUCAUAUGGAUCUGGAUAAUCGUCCUCUGGUUCUAAAUCAUCAUCCAACACUUGCUCGUGUUGAUCUGGGCUAGGUUCAUCUAUGUCACUGGUAAGACUUUUAAAUUAGUUUCUAAAGAACUUACAACACUUAAAUAUCAAAUGAAAAUAACUUUUUUCUGUUUUCUACAAGUACACAUGAACUUGUUUUCAUUUUAUGAAAACUCUUAGUGUUUUUGGUCCACCGAAUGUGUUUUUGCAUCAUUUUUGUUCUCUGAAACAACCCCUUAAAACGGGGCCUUAUCUUCCUCACAAUUUGAGACAUAUGCAAAAAUAAUUUAUCAAAAGCACAAAAAGAAAAGUUUUUGUACGCAUGUCACACUGUUAUUGGUAAGAACUCCUAUUUA